UACAGAGGGGGCAAGCGUUAUUCGGAAUUAUUGGGCGUAAAGGCGCGUAGGCGGCCUGGCAAGUGGAUGGUGAAAUCCCUCGGCUUAACCGAGGAACUGCCAUCCAGACUGCUUGGCUUGAGACCGGGAGAGGUGAGUGGAAUUCCCAGUGUAGCGGUGAAAUGCGUAGAUAUUGGGAGGAACACCAGUGGCGAAGGCGGCUCACUGGACCGGUACUGACGCUGAGGCGCGAAAGCGUGGGGAGCAA
rnacentral:rRNA from 1 species